GAUGAACGCUAGCGGCGGGCCUUAUCCAUGCAAGUCGAGGGGCAGCAGAACAUUUCGAUGUUGCUGGCGACCGGCGCACGGGUGCGUAACGCGUAUGUAAUCUGCCUUGUACAGGGGAAUAGCUUUUGGAAACAAAAAUUAAUACCCCAUAUACUCCAAGCAACACAUGUUGCAUGGAGAAAAGCUCUGGCGGUACAAGAUGAACAUGCGUCCUAUUAGCUAGUUGGUGAGAUAAAAGCUUACCAAGGCAACGAUAGGUAGGGGUUCUGAGAGGAAAAUCCCCCACACUGGUACUGAGAUACGGACCAGACUCCUACGGGAGGCAGCAGGAAGGAAUAUUGGUCAAUGGGCUCAAGCCUGAACCAGCCACGCCGCGUGCAGGAUGAAGGCCUUCAAGGUCUUAAACUGCUUUUGUACGGUAACAAAAAAUCUUCUGUGGAGGAUAUUGAGGGUACCGUAAGAAUAAGCACCGGCUAACUCCGUGCCAGCCGCCGCCGUAACAC
rnacentral:rRNA from 1 species